CCCUGCUCCCAGUCCUUCCAGGCCACCAGCUUCUUGUCGGCAUGGCAUCGAUGCCACCCCCACCCCCAUUUCCCUAUGCAUCCUGUUCAUUUCCUUCCAGGAAUCCACAGGAAUGUCCCCCCACCUUUGUGUUCCUAGGACCAGGAAUGGCGCCCCACAUAGAGCAGCUACUCUGUGAUUACUUGCACAAAAUGUUUAAUCACUCCAGGUUGGUGGAAAAUAUGAAGACAGCUGGGCGUGGUGGUGUAUGCCUAUGAUCCCAGCGCUUGGGAGGCUGAGGCAGGGCCAGCCUGGGCUACAGAGUGAGUUCAAGGCCAGCCUGAGGUACAUAAUGAGACUAGAGCCUGUCUCAAAAAACCAACCCUCCUCCCUCAAAAAAAAACCGAGAAAGCGCAAGCUUGCGAUAGAGAGAGAGAGAGAGAGAGAGAAAGAGAGAGAGAGAGAGAACAAGAUGAAGAGAAAGAGGAAAAGGAAGAAGAAACCGCAGUUGCUGCAUGGGUGUACCAUGUACACAUGCUGGGAGCUUGAACAUGCACACUACAGUGUGUGCCAGGAAGCUAUGCUGGGAGCCUCGAGUAGGAAGCGCUCAGAGAUAGGUGUGCCCUAGAGGCAGAACGCUCCGCAAUCUCUCCUAUCAACUCCCAGACCCUCCGUUCCGCCCCUCACAGCUGUGUGCUAAUGCAGGAGAGGGAACAGCUCAAGGCAAAAGGGAAGGCUGGGGGAAGAGGGCUCAGGCCUGCAAGCUGCUGCAGGCGGGCACCCCUUCCCUCCCGGCUUCCCCUCGGGUCCUUCUGCUGGCCUCCUUCAGGACUUGGCAAGGAGCCUCCUCGAUAGGCAAUAGAGCAAGAUUUCCCUGUGCAUGGCC
rnacentral:lncRNA from 1 species